rnacentral:rRNA from 1 species
ACUCGACUCCAUGAAGUCGGAAUCGCUAGUAAUCGUGGAUCAGAAUGCCACGGUGAAUACGUUCCCGGGCCUUGUACACACCGCCCGUCACACCAUGGGAGUGGGCGGCAAAAGAAGUAGGUAGCUUAACCUUCGGGGGAGCGCUUACCACUUUGUGGUUCAUGACUGGGGUGAAGUCGUAACAAGGUUACCGUAGGGG